UUGACAUGUGUUGUGUGCUUCCACUGUGUCAGGCACUAUUUUGAGCAAGUAUUUAAUCCUCACGACAACCUAAUGAGGCAAGGGAAGACCCAGGGUUCAAAACCCGGCAGCCUGGGCCAGAGCCAGCACUCUGAUCUCUCUGUGGCGAACUCUUCAUGAAGCAAGUCUCAUCUGUUACAAAACCCUGGCACUAGAAUAAAUGACUGAAUGAAUGGUCCACCUACUUCACGUGAAGAGGAAAGGACUUUUCCACACAGCUGAAGGAGGGUUGAUGAAAAUGGGAACUUUGGGAUCUAAGAUCCUAUUAUCCCUUGAAUGCCAUCCUCCACAAGAUGGACGAUCAGGAAAAUGAGACUCUGAGAAAACAGAUCCUCCAAUUCUCAACUGAUACUAGCUGCACUGAGGCCCAGAGCAGAGGUGUCCCAGCCUGGAAGCUGGAGAAUCAGCUGAGCCCCAGGGCUCCAUCCCCAGCACAGCACCCGCCCUCUUUGGGCAGGGUUUCAUCUGCUACCUUGAAGCCCCACAGCUCCCCUUGUCUCCUCUGCAGGAAGCUAAAGCAAGGGAUUUGGAAUGUGCCAACCGGAGGCCCAGUUGGCAAUAAAACUCUGUCACCCAGCCCGUGGCAUGUUAUAACCUUCCCGAGAUUUUUAACCCAAGCUCAUAAACUCCUUUCCUUCUUCCCACCCUUUCUAAGAGCUAGCUUUCCAAAACAGCCAUUGCCACAUACCCAAGUCCCCUCACAAGAUCGUCAUAAGAGCUCCUUUUUCAUUUGAAGUCCAAAGGGGGAAGGGGCCCACAGGUUGGGGACAGAGCCACUGAGGAAAUUUAUUUCUUCUUCCCUUACUAAUCUUUUUCCCAUCCAGGUGUGUUUUCCCAUGGACUAAAAUAUCACCAGUACAGAGGCCCCUAGAGGGAAUUCUAGCUCAAUUCACUCAUUUAUUAGAUGAAACUGAGGCCCAGAGAAGUGCCCUCCUCAGGGCCUGCAUAGAGUGAGGUGGGCUGGGGCUGGAGGAGGCUUCUGGUCCCUGGGAACUUCUCAUGUCAGGUAUAGCUGCCUAUCUGUGUGCCUGUGUGUGUCUGUGUACACCUAUGUAUGCCUGCAUGUGGGUCUGUGUGUGUCUUUGUAUGUGCCUCUGUGCAUGCCUGUGUGCCCUUCUGUAAAUGCCCCUGUGUGCCCUUGUGUGCAUGCCUAUAUGCCCCUCUGUGUGUGCCUGUGUGUGUGACUGUGUGUGCACCUGUGUGUGUGCAUACAUACGCUUGGUUCCAGGAACCAGGUUUGCACUGAGAAGUUUUUCUACAUAUCUUGGAGGGAUGGGAAGUGGAGAAUUAGAUAUGUUUGUAGGUAGAGUCCAAAGGACUUGCACAUGGAGGAUGAAAUGUCCAUCUUCAACUGAACCAGAAAUGAAGAUACCAUCUCACAAUUUUGCCUUCUACCUGUUCUGAACAAUCAUUUACUGAAAAUUAAUACGUUUGUCAUAGAAAAAUUGGGAGUUUAAGAUAAAUGUAAAAGAAUUGAAACUAGUCAUAAUUCCACCACCUAGAAACAAUGUUUGCCAGUGUUUUGGUUUACAUUCUUCAUCAUUUUUUUAAAAAAUGUCAUUAUAUGGCAUGAUCUAUUUGGCAAUCCAAUAAUUAUAUGUUCUAAUGAAACUUUUUUUUCAAAAUACUCAAUACACUUUCAUGGUAUAAUUUCAAUGGCAUUCUAGUAUUCCAUGUUCUUGGUCUAUCCAUUCAACCCAUUUCUUACUGUUGGAAAUUUUGGUAACUCCUCCUUUUUCCUAUCACAAACAAUAGUAAGAUAAAUGUCUCUGGUCUCUGGUUAUUCCUGGAUGAAAUUCUUAAAAUAGAACUGCUGGAACUAAGACAAUGACACUUUUAAAAUUUGACAUACAUAGUUCCCAGUCAUGCUUCGGGACACCUUAGUCUAUUUACACUGCCAGUGACAGUGUAGUAUCUGAGAUUUGUUUUUUCUACCACCUUUUCCUUAUAAUUUUCUAGAAUUCCAAGGAACUUUAAAAAUUAUUUCAAUCACUGGUAGGCAGGUAUUCACUGUUUUCCACUUCGUUUUUGCAAAAAUUGUAAAACUCAUCAAUACUACAAACAAGGGGCUGACCUAGUUCUGUUUUACUUUGUGUGAAUUUUGGUCUUUCUUAAUAAACAUGAAGUUUUGAAGAAUUAUAAGCAGGUAUAUGCAGGCCUCUUAGCAUUCUUUAAUAUUUAAUAUAAAUACUUCUACAAAAUGCUGUAAUGUGUUAUACUUACUUAAAACAAUAAAAUAUCCUUAAAGCACUGGAAUGAUCAAAGUCUAGAUGUCCUGUGGUUGAUGAACCGGUUCUCUAUUUUGAGUAUUUGAAUUAUUUUCAGUUUGGUUGGAUUAACAGGUAGAGUGCAUGAAGACUUAUCUUGUUCCUACUGUGAGUUAGUGUCUUACACGGAACUGUGCUCUGUGUGUCACUGGCACAAAAACAGCCUCCACUAUUGCUUCUGGAUGCCAAUGUUUGCAAACAUUUUUAUUUUAACAUGAAUUAACAUUUUAUUCUUCUCAAACCCUCAAAUCUCUGUGUCACAGUUUACUGUGAUCAUCUAAAAGGAAAUGAAAAACCAGAAGAGGUAUGGAAAAUAUAGUUAUGUACUUGUAUGUACAUUUUAAUUUUUUGAUUUUUUGAUUACACAGCUAAUAUAUGUUCUAUGUA